ACGCUCGACACCUACGGGAGGCAGCAGUGAGGAAUAUUGGUCAAUGGGACGCAAGUCUGAACCAGCCAUGCCGCGUGCAGGAUGACGGCUCUAUGAGUUGUAAACUGCUUUUGUACGAGGGUAAACGCAGAUACGUGUAUCUGUCUGAAAGUAUCGUACGAAUAAGGAUCGGCUAACUCCGUGCCAGCAGCCGUGGUAAUCUGAGGCGGCGUGGCAAGGC
rnacentral:rRNA from 1 species